GAUCAAAACCACAGGGAACAGAGUUCCUCAUCUCAAACCCUAAUUUCCUAAAAUACUACCCAAAAAUCAAAGAAGGAAUCAAGUAGGAAUUGAUUUCAAGCUAAAUUCGUGAUCAUUACACUUAGGGGAUCACAAGGCAAUUUGGGUGGAAACUCAAGUAAUCAAGGAAGAUCAGAUACCCGUUUGAAAGGAAAGCGUUAAAGGUAAUCGUAGCAACCUGCGGAUGAAGAUCAAGCUUGUUAGAGGAUCGAACACGCACACAUGAUGAAGCUUCCGAUAAAUUAAUCGUGU